rnacentral:rRNA from 1 species
CCUACGCGAGGCUGCAGUGAGGAAUAUUGGUCAAUGGACGAGCGUCUGAACCAGCCAAGUAGCGUGAAGGAUGACAGCCCUAUGGGUUGUAAACUUCUUUUGUAUGGGAAUAAAAUGUUCCACGUGUGGGAUUUUGUAUGUACCAUAUGAAUAAGGAUCGGCUAACUCCGUGCCAGCAGCCGCGGUAAUACGGCGGAUCCGAGCGUUAUCCGGAUUUAUUGGGUUUUAAGGGAGCGUAGGUGGAUUGUUAAGUCAGUUGUGAAAGUUGGCGGCUCAACCGUAAAAUUGCAGUUGAAACUGGCAGUCUUGAGUACAGUAGAGGUGGGCGGAAUGCGUGGUGUAGCGGUGAAAUGCUUAGAGAUCACGAAGAACUCCGAUUGCGAAGGCAGCUCACGGGACUGCAACUGACACUGAGGCUCGAAAGUGUGGGUAUCAAACAGGAUUAGAUACCCGGGUAGUC